UCCACAAAUUUUUUAUGUUUAUUUACUAUAAUCCAUAUGUUUUGAUAUUUUGGGUUUUUCAUUCAGUUAAAAAUAGUUUAUGGUUUUCUUUCUGACUUAAAAAAAAUCCCAAUUAUUUAAAUGUGUGUUUUUGGUUUUGUUUUAUAUUUUGAUGGUAGGGCUGGGGAUCAAACCCAGGCCCUCACGCAUGCUAGGCCAGCAGUAUACCACAUACCCAGCUCCCAAACUGUAAUUUUUUUUUAAUUUCAAAAUAUUUUGGUAUUUCCAGAUACCUCUCUGUUUAAUUUCAUAUGGCAGAAAAUGCAUCCUGCAUUAUUUUAAUUGUUUUAAGUUCAUUAAUGUUUUGUGACCCAAAAUGUGGUCCACUGCGAUGUGUGUUCAUGUGUACUUGCAGAGAGUUUUUAGAUGGAGUGCUUUGUAAAUCUCAAUCAGGUCAACUUGGUUUAGUGCUCAGGCCUCACACUUUCUUGCUGCUGUCCUGUACUUGUUUUAUUAUUGAUAACUGGACAGGAAUGUUGAACUCUCCAAGAAGAGUUGUAGAUUUGUCUAGUUCUCUUUAUCUUUUUUUUUCUUUGAAAACUUUCCACAUUUAUUUACACAUAGCUUAAGGAAUCAUUUCCCAACCCUAUUUAAUAUUUGCAGAUUUCUUUAGUUGGAAACAAAAAUUCAAAAUACAGCAAGUACAGGCGCGGGUGUCACUCCAGCAGGGCUUGCCCUCUUGAUCUUGCCUUUCAGCAGAUGGGCUGAAGUUGGAGAGGUGGCAGUCAGACACAAAAAUGUUUGCUUUAAUUUCUUCCAUCCAUCAAGUCAUAAAGGAAGCUGCCACGGAGCCUCAGAAUCAGUAUCCAAAAAUGUGGGCUGGUCCAGUAGCUAGUAGCUCAGUGGUAGAGUACUAACCCUGCGUUAAAAAAAAAUGGAAUGGAUUAGUUUAAAUGAGAUAAUUACCAGAUUGAUGAGCAGUGGUUAAAAGAAACAAGACCUUUGGUGCAUAGGCAAAAUUACCACAUUACUUGCAGAAGCAGAAUUCUCUAGGACCUUUCUGUAGCCCUUUAUUUACAUACAUUUUAAAAAGUUACUGCAAGAUAGUUUAAAAUUUUAACCAAAACAAGAAAAGUAUGAAGUGAACAGUCAAUGACACUAAAUUCAACUGUUUAUGAAUCAAGGAACUUAAAAAGCAAAUCUGGGAAUUGAAUUCCCUUAUGACUCUAGGGCUUCAGUUAGAAUCUUUUUCUGUUGAUGCUAUUUCUAUUUUAUUCUUUCAAUAUAGUCUCUUCAGAGUCAGAAAAAUGACUUCAGCAACUUUAUGAAAAUCAGCAAUUUUUGAGAGGAUGUACCUGGGAAAUCCAGUGAGCUUUUUUUUUUAGAAUUUUUUUUUAGUAUUUAUAUUUUAGUCAUCGUCGGACUCAACAUCUUUGUUGGUAUGUGGUGCUGAGGAUGGAACCCGGGCCGCACGCAUGCCAGGCGAGUGCCCUACCGCUUGAGCCACAUCCCCAGCCCCCAGUGAGCUUUUCACAGGAGCUGACUUCUGCUCAGCUUCCCUCCCUCCCUGCGGUGGGCUGGCGGGUGCCUGGCCCCUCCACGGGGUCUUCACCCCACACUUCUCCUUGGGAUGUCUUUAACCAGAAGGCCCAGGCCCAGGGCUGGUAGGAGUACCGGUGAGAAGCGCCAGGCUUGCGAGGCUCUUUCCCUCUGCUCUGGGGGCUGGGGCUUCCUUCCCGGGGACGACCUUGGGUCUGGGUGUCAGGUGGCCUGAACACAGAAGGUAAGCUGUGGGUGCGCGUGGACAGAAAAAGUGAUCGAAUAGACUGUGGGCCUUGGACAUCAGGUCUCUCUGUUCCACUGUGGGGACUGAGCAUGGGAAUUGGCCUUUUGAAAAUGCCCUUGGCUAGUCGAUGGGGACCCCCAUUACUAAGGGGAUCCCUGAUGUCUCUGACUGGAAGACAGCUUGGAGUCUCAGACAUUAGAUGUGGGAACUUGCGAGUAGAUUUUCCACUGAAUGUCUGGCCUGCCCUCGGUGAUGGUGCCUCUGCUUGGCGGAGCACCAGCUCCUACUGUUGUGGGGAAUUCGGGUGUCACCAGAGAAGUGCUGGGCUGUGGUCCACAGGCUUGUUUACUGGGCCCCGGGGAGUGCGAGUGGUCGCUUUCUACAGAAGCCACAGCGACAUUUGGGACCCUCCAGUGGUUGCUGGUGGAAUGGCGAUGGAGCUUCCUGGGAACCUUGGCAAAGAUCUGCCCAGGAGGCACCAAUAGAGGAAUGAAAAGCAGUCACCACGCAGGCGCUGGUGGCCUUUGGCUUGGGGAACAGGCCCAAUUCCAGCCCACACCUGCCCUGCGGGCGGCCACGUUCCCCUCAAGUGUUCAGCGUCUAGUUCUCUUUGAUUUCCACCUGGCUUUGCCUCACAUAUUUGAAGGCUCUGUUCUUCAGGGGCGUCACACCUAGGGAAUAUUUUACCUUUGGUAAAUUGAGCCUUUGUUAUUGUGUGAAGUCCCAUUUCACCCCUGGUAUGGUUUCUGUUCUGAAGUCUCCUUUGUCUAUAUUAACAUUGCCACUCGAGUUUCUUUUGAUGCCUAUUUUCAUUCUGUAAUCCUCUUUCAUCCCUCUGCUUUUUAAAAAAAAAAAUUUUUUUUUUUUUUAGUUGAUGGACCUUUAUUUCAUUUAUUGUUUUUAUAUGCGGUGCUGAGAAUCCAACCCAGUGCCUCACACAUGGGAGACAAGCCCUCUACCACUGAGCCACAACCCCAGCACCAUCUUUCUGCUUUUAACCUGUGUAAUUUUAUUUAAAGGUGAGUUUGUAUAAAUAGAGCACACAUUUGGGGCUUGUAUUUUCAAUCCAAACUGAUAAUCUCUGUCUUUUAAUUGGUGUAUAUAGACCAUUUAAAUUUAAUGUAAUGAUUAAUAUGGUUGAGUUUAAGCUUCCUAUUUUGUCAUUUGUUCUGUUUGUUCCUACUGGUUUUUAUUGCUCGGUUACCUCUUUCUCCCAAUUUUUGGGAUCAUUUAAAUAUUUUUGGUACUUUCUGAUUUAUUUAUUUAUUUUUGUGGUUCUAGGGAUUGAAAACGGGACUUCAUGCAUGUUAAGCAAGCACUUCACUAAGCGACACCUCAAACCCUAUUAUGGUUUGGAUGUGAGGUGUCCCCAAAAAGCUCACAUGUGAGACAAUGCAAGAAAGUUCAAAGGAGAAAUGAUUGGGUUGUAAGAGUCUUAACCCCAUCAGUGUUUUAAUCCCACUGGUAGAGAUUAAUUGAGUGGUAACUGAAGAGGUAGGGUGUGGCUGGAGGAGGUGGGAGCUGGGGUGUGGCUUUGGGGUAUAUAUAUUCUGUAUCUAUCUGGAGAGUGGAGUCCCCUCCCCCCCCCCCGUGCUGGGGAUCCAACCCAGGGCCGUGUGCAUGCAGGGCAAACACCCUACCAACUGAGCUAUAUCCAUAGCCCCUCUCUGCUUCUUGAUUACCGUGAUGUGAGCUGCUUCCCUGUGCCACACACUAGGCCAUAGUUCAGCCUCACCUUGAGCCCCAAGAAAUGGAGCCUUUUAUGGACUAAGGCCUCUGAAACCGUGAGCCCUCAAAUAAAUCCUUUCUCCUCUUCAGUUGUUCUGGUCAGACCUUUAGUCACAGCAGCAAAAAAGCUGACUAAAACAAGCCCCUGGUACUAUAUUUAAUUUACCUACACUAGUGCUUGUUGUCCAUAUCUGUUAGUAUUAUUACAUAGGAGUUGCUCUGGACUGCACAACAUACAUCCCUCAUUUUUAAUAGUCUAUCUAAAUUUAAUAUCUUAAUACUUAAAGUAAAAUGUACAAGCCUUAUAAACAUAUUUUACCCUCCUCUUUAUACUUUAGUUGUAUAUCUCUACAUUCAUCAAACAUUUUACCAACAAUAUAUUUUUCUUUCCGCAGUCAAAAUAUUUUAAAGAACUUUAGAAAACAGUCUAUUCUAUUUAGUCAGAUAUUAACCACUUCUCUCGCUCUUUCAUUCCUAGAGCACCAAGUUUCUCUCUCAUCUCCUCAGCCCAAAAAACUUCACUUAAUAUUUAUUUUAGAACAAGUCUGUUGGCAACAAUUUUUUUACAUUUUCCUUCAUCUGAGAACAUCUGUUUGACUCCAUUCCUUAAGAAUAUUUCACCUAAACCUAGAGCACUGUUCCACUGCCCUCUGUCCUCCAGGGUUCCUGAUGACAAAUCUGCAGUCCCUCUCAUCCUUCCCACGUCUGCUAUGUCACGUUUCCCAUGUCACGUUUCCCGGCUGCUUCCUAGAGCUGCUUCCCAGAGCUUUAUCUCUGGUUGUGGGCAGUUGAGUGGGUGUAUAUGGGCCCAUUUUCUUUGAGUUUAUCUUGUUGGAUGGCUUAUGGAGCAUCUUGAAUCUGUAAAGUUGUUUUUCACCAAAAUCUGAGGAGUUUUGGUCAUUAUUUUUUCAAAUGUUUUCUGUACCAGUCUGUUUCCCCUUUAUUCCUGAGACUCCAGUGGCAGAGGUGUUAGACCUUUCAGUGUUGUCCCAGAGGGCUCUGCGCCUCCUGUUCAGUAGUUUUAAUCAUUUUUCUCUGUUCUUCACAUUGAAAAUUUUUGAUCUUCAAGUUCACUAACGCUUUCCUAUGUUGUCUCAUUCUGCUGUGUUGUUUCAGACAGUGUGUUUUUCAGUUCUAAAGUUGCCAUUUAGUUCCCAUUUCUUCCUCAUGGUUUCUGUUUCUCUGCUGAGAAACUAGCACCUUUACCUUCAUUUAAAGUGCAUUCAUCUUCCCUCAAGAGGUUAUGUCCGUCACUUUAACACCAGUGUCCAUUCCGUUAUCUGAGUCAGCUCAGCAUUGCCAUCUGACAGUUCUUUCCCUUCAUUUGUUCACAUUUUCCUGGUUCUUUAUACGUUGAAGAAUUUUUGACACUUUGAUGAUUCUCUUGGGAGACUCCAUGUUCUGUUGUAAUCCUCUGGAGAAUAUUGAUUGGUUGCUGCUGUGUGGCAGGCAAUCACCUGAUUAGACUCAUACCACAAGUUCUACCUUGUUCUCUAUGAAUGGUGUUUCCUGCGCCACCUAAGUUGUUAAAACCUUUCCUGUGCUCCUUUGGGCCUUGCCUUUGCAUGUGCCACUCUGAGGUUAACUGGAAGCAUGAUGGUAGUUCAGUUCUCAAAGCUCUUGUAUCCUACUUUGGAUUCACUCCUGCAGAGUUUAAGGUCGAACCCAGGAUUUGUUCCAAUUCAUACUUAGAACUGGGAGGGUCCCCUUCUUCAGCUCUGCCCCCUCUGCGAUUCCCUGAACACUUUCUGGAUCCCAGGAGCCUCUUUCCCAACCCUCUGGCCAGCAAUCCGGAUUUUCUUUCAGAGUUCCAACUGCACUUCCUACCACUGGGGUUGGCUGAAGAACAGGGCUGGAGGAGGAAAAAGGGAGAGGAAGAAAAAGAGAAAAACCAGGGAUUUCUCUGUACUCUUUGAUUUGUGAAGGCCCCUUUUCUUGGUUCUGUGGCCAAGAAGACAGAGUCGGAGAGGUCCAUGGUGGGCUGCCUUCCUGUCAAACACGGGGAAGCAACAGAGGAAACCAGACCAGCAACACAGCCCUCCUCUCCACCUUCAGCUUUGACUCCCCGGCAGUCUGUGGCCUACUGUUUACUCUUCAGGGGUCUCAAGUUUGAUCUCGUUCCUCCAAGACGGCUUGUUUGCUAAGAGGACUUAGCAGGCACUGGAAAGAGACCUUGUCCUCCUUUCCUCUUCAUGGAAGUCUCAAUGUCACAUUCUGUGCAAACCCUCAAGUGUUGUAGUAUCUGUAUUCAGAACACGCAUGCAUACACCACACACAUAUCCAGUCUCUUUUUCCAAUUUGUAGAGCAAAUUCAACCCCUGGGUAGGGAAGCCCAAGAAAACAAUUUCCUGACACAAUGCCUUUUAAAAUUCAGCCUGGAGACUGCAUCUGUAGUCCUUUGGACCUUUGCAAGAGAUCAGAGUUCUGCCUGCAUUAGAGGAUGAUUGCUUUACAGCUGGAGAUUCCAUUUGUAUUGAGCUCGGCUCCUGGUCCACGUGAGGCCUGUACUGAAGAGCUGACUGGUGAGCCUCAGCACGGCAGCCUCCUCCCCCACCUCCCCUCUCUGCUCACCAGUCGUGCCAACUAUUUGUGGAGGCUACAGUUUUUAGAAGGAAAAACAGUGAAUGGUUUGACCACGGGAAAUAUGAGACUCACACCACAAGUUCUACCUUGUUCUCUUGUAGCUGAGGAAUCUGAUGGUUCUUUUCUAGUCACUGAGCCUCUGGGUUUCUAAGUAUGGGUGGCCUUGCACGUUCACCAAAGAACUUCUGUCUGAGUGUUCCUGCAUACAUAUUACCCAAGAUGAGCCAAACCUGUUAGAAAAAAUGACUCUGUUGUCUCUUAUUAUCUUUCUUCUUCUUCUUUAUCACUUAACAAAUGAGUCUGGCAUAUAUUAAUAAAUAUAUCAUCUGAGAGA